rnacentral:rRNA from 1 species
CAGUAGCCACGGUAAUACGUAGGUGGCAAGCGUUGUCCGGAAUUAUUGGGCGUAAAGCGCGCGCAGGUGGUUUAAUAAGUCUGAUGCGAAAGCCCACGGCUCAACCGUGGAGGGUCAUUGGAAACUGUUAAACUUGAGUGCAGGAGAGAAAAGUGGAAUUCCUAGUGUAGCGGUGAAAUGCGUAGAGAUUAGGAGGAACACCAGUGGCGAAGGCGGCUUUUUGGCCUGUAACUGACACUGAGGCGCGAAAGCGUGGGGAGCAAACAGGAUUAGAUACCCCUGUAGUCCCUGUCUCUUAUAA